rnacentral:rRNA from 1 species
UACGUAGGGUGCGAGCGUUAAUCGGAAUUACUGGGCGUAAAGCGUGCGCAGGCGGUUGUGUAAGACAGGUGUGAAAUCCCCGGGCUUAACCUGGGAACGGCGCUUGUGACUGCAAGGCUCGAGUAUGGCAGAGGGGACUAGAAUUCCUGGUGUAGCAGUGAAAUGCGUAGAUAUCAGGAGGAAUACCGAUGGCGAAGGCAGGUCCCUGGGCUAAUACUGACGCUCAUGCACGAAAGCGUGGGGAGCAAACAGGAUUAGAAACCCCUGUAGU